rnacentral:rRNA from 1 species
AGCGAACGCUGGCGGCAGGCCUAACACAUGCAAGUCGAACGAACUCUUCGGAGUUAGUGGCGGACGGGUGAGUAACACGUGGGAACGUGCCUUUAGGUUCGGAAUAACUCAGGGAAACUUGUGCUAAUACCGAAUGCGCCCUUCGGGGGAAAGAUUUAUCGCCUUUAGAGCGGCCCGCGUCUGAUUAGCUAGUUGGUGAGGGAAUGGCUCACCAAGGCGACGAUCAGUAGCUGGUCUGAGAGGAUGAUCAGCCACAUUGGGACUGAGACACGGACCAAACUACUACGGGAGGGAGCAGUGGGGAAUCUUGCGCAAUGGGCGAAAGCCUGACGCAGCCAUGCCGCGUGAAUGAUGAAGGUCUUAGGAUUGUAAAAUUCUUUCACCGGGGACGAUAAUGACGGUACCCGGAGAAGAAGCCCCGGCUAACUUCGUGCCAGCCGCCGCCGUAA